rnacentral:rRNA from 1 species
AUACGGGGGGAGCAAGCGUUAUUCGGAUUUAUUGGGCGUAAAGGGCGCGUUGGCGGCUUGGUAAGUCAGAUGUGAAAGCCCGGGGCUCAACCCCGGAAGUGCAUUUGAAACUAUCAGGCUUGAGUAUGGGAGAGGGAAGUGGAAUUCCUGGUGUAGAGGUGAAAUUCGUAGAUAUCAGGAGGAACACCGGUGGCGAAGGCGACUUCCUGGACCAAUACUGACGCUGAGGCGCGAAGGCGUGGGGAGCAAACAGGAUUAGAAACCCUAGUAGUCC